rnacentral:rRNA from 1 species
AACGAACGCUGGCGGCAUGCCUAACACAUGCAAGUCGAACGAUGGCUUCGGCCAUAGUGGCGCACGGGUGAGUAACACGUGGGAACCUGCCUUUCGGUUCGGAAUAACGUUUGGAAACGAACGCUAACACCGGAUACGCCCUUUGGGGGAAAGUUUACGCCGAGAGAGGGGCCCGCGUCCGAUUAGGUAGUUGGUGGGGUAAUGGCCCACCAAGCCGACGAUCGGUAGCUGGUCUGAGAGGAUGAUCAGCCACACUGGGACUGAGACACGGCCCAGACUCCUACGGGAGGCAGCAGUGGGGAAUAUUGGACAAUGGGCGCAAGCCUGAUCCAGCCAUGCCGCGUGAGUAAUGAAGGCCUUAGGGUUGUAAAGCUCUUUCACCCACGACGAUGAUGACGGUAGUGGGAGAAGAAGCCCCGGCUAACUUCGUGCCAGCCGCCGCCGUAAGAC